AUGAGAGGUCAGCCCAGACAGAGGAGGACACGCUGCUGCCCUGCUCCAGGGCCCCAGGGACAGGCACAGGUCGCUGGCAGGUGGAGACAGCAAGCCUUUGAGAUCCAUGCAUGGAGUCCAGCACGUACAGCAUCACCCAGCCCAAGUCACUCCGGCUCCUGCCGGCGGGACCUUUGCGCCCUGGCAUUCCCCCACCAGCAUGGCUCCAUCUUCCCCACGCUAAGCCCUCAUGGGAGGCAGACAAGUGUCCCAGAGAAAAUUCUCCGUGGCAGGCACAUCAUCCUUUGGAGCAGUCUCUUCCCUGAUUUCUCUCCACUCUUCCAUCAGCACCGGGGGCCCUUAUGGAAAUGCAGGCCUCCUGAGCCGGAAUCUGCAUUUCUGCAGAACCCCUGGGCGUUUGUGGCUAAGGGGGGGCGGGGAUGGUUUGGGAAGCCUGCUGCAUGCUGCUGCGCUUUCCCGUUCUUCCCCAGGCUCUCUGGCCACACUGCCCAUCUCCUUGUGGACACCUUUCCCCUCACCUGCUGCUUUGAAUGCCAGGACAUCCUGGAUGAUCUCAGCCACUGCCAUGGCUGCACCUACCACCUGCCUGUCCUGGGCUCCCCAGGCCAUGUAACCACUGUCGGCCACUUCCACAGGUGUAAGUACCCAGCAGACAGCCCGAGAGACCCUGCAAGUCCUACAUGCCCCAAGCUAAAGGCAUGCCCUCCCAGCAGGCCUGCAGCUGCCCUUCCUGUGUUCCCAAGGUCACCCAGACCCCAUCCAGGAGUUCACUCGUGCAGUCUCCUCUCUCACCCUAAACCCCCAAAUCCACCCUGCAGCGAGUCCUGCUUCCUGAGCAGCUCUUGGCCUGGCCUCUCCUCCCUACCUCGUUGCCACUGCCUGCACUCAGAUUCCGAUGGUCCCUCCCCUCGUGUCUACCGCAGGUCUGGCCAACUCGCAGCACAGUCAUCCUCCACGUGGCGACCCUGCCAUCCAGCCCGAGGGGGCUCCCUGCCCCAGAAGCUACUGGAACUCCCGGAACCAAUGCUUUAA
rnacentral:lncRNA from 1 species